UGCAGCCCUCCGCAUCUAUCAGCAGGUUGCCCCGGAUGGAUCUCAGAGAUGAGGAUUGGAACACCAUGUUCUUUCCCACCCUAACAACAACAAAGGGCAGUAAAUUAAAGUACUCUUUGUAAGGCUCACUGAGGACCUCACCAGAAGACGCUGGCAUCAUGCUGCCUGUACAGCCUGCAGAACUGACACAAUUGGAGAACUGGUUAUUUUACCAAGGCUUUUACUGGAAUGGUGUGUUUUCCAUUUAGGAAUCAAACUUAUUGAGCCAAUAAAACUCCUUGGGAAAACUGUCUGCUUACGUUUGUCUACACAGUUCCUGUACAGGGUUCCUGACCUGUGGUAAGUAAGGAAUGUACUUUCUGACAAGUCCAGGACCCCAGGUUUAUCUUGGAACCUCAAGAGGAGAGGAAUUCACCCAACUCAUAGGUAUUUAAUGGUAUAGAUACAUGACUGGGCUUGGCUUAUUCCUUCUAUGGAAUAAAGUUCCAUCAAGACCAAUUUAAGAGCCUAUUUAGGCCAGGCAUGGUGGCUCAUGCCCUUAACUCCAGCACUUUGGGAGGGAGAGGUGGGUGGAUCACUUGAGGUCAGGAGUUUAACACCAGCCUGGCCAACAUGGUGAAACCCUGUUUUUACU